AACCCAUGGUGUGGGCAUUGAGAUUGAUAUCCCUUGAACCGUUUCCAUGCUUCACAUAAUUUCUCGUUGUU
rnacentral:snoRNA from 1 species